CAGCUCUCCGAGUGGUAGGGACGAUUAUUGGGCUUAAAGCGUCCGUAGCCGGCUCAGCAAGUCCUCCGUUAAAUCCAGCGAUUCAAUCGUUGGACUGCGGGGGAUACUGUUGGGCUAGGGGACGAGAGAGGCCGACGGUAUUCUCGGAGUAGGGGUGAAAUCCUAUAAUUCCGGGAGGACCACCAGUGGCGAAGGCUGUCGGCUAGAACGAGCUCGACGGUGAGGGACGAAAGCUGGGGGAGCGAACCGGAUUAGAUACCCGAGUAGUCC
rnacentral:rRNA from 1 species